rnacentral:rRNA from 1 species
UGCAAGUCGAGCGAGAACCAGGCCUUCGGGCCUGGGGAAAGCGGCGAACGGGUGAGUAACACGUGGGCAACCCACCCUUGGUACCGGGAUAGCCCGGGGAAACCCGGAUUAAUACCGGAUGGCCCAGCAGCCCUUCGGGGCGGCUGGAAAAGGUAGCUUCGGCCUCCGACCAAGGACGGGCCCGCGGCGGAUUAGCUUGUUGGUGAGGUAACGGCUCACCAAGGCGACGAUCCGUAGCUGGUCUGAGAGGACGAUCAGCCACACUGGGACUGAGACACGGCCCAGACUCCUACGGGAGGCAGCAGUGGGGAAUCUUGCGCAAUGGGCGAAAGCCUGACGCAGCGACGCCGCGUGGGGGAAGAAGGCUUUCGGGUUGUAAACCCCUUUCAGGAGGGACGAAGCCACUCGGGUGAAUAGCCCAGAGGGUGACGGUACCUCCAGAAGAAGCCCCGGCUAACUACGUGCCAGCAGCCGCGGUAAUACGUAGGGGGCAAGCGUUGUCCGGAUUUAUUGGGCGUAAAGAGCGUGUAGGCGGCCAUGUAGGUCCGUUGUGAAAACUCGAGGCUCAACCUCGAGACGCCGAUGGAAACCAUGUGGCUAGAGUCCGGAAGAGGAGAGUGGAAUUCCUGG